rnacentral:rRNA from 1 species
GACGAACCGUGCGAACGUUAUUCGGAAUCACUGGGCUUAAAGCGCGUGUAGGCGGGUCGGGACGUCGGUCGCUGAAAUCCCCCGGCUCAACCGGGGAAGGGGCGCCGAUACGGCCGGCCUGGAGGGACGUAGGGGGGCUGGAACUUCCGGUGGAGCGGUGAAAUGCGUUGAGAUCGGAAGGAACGCCCGUGGCGAAAGCGAGCCCCUGGACGUCUACUGACGCUGAGACGCGAAAAGCCCAG